CCACUACACUUACCAGAUAACGCACUCUUUGCAUCAUAUGUAUCAAUCGAAAGCUCUGAAGAAAGCACUCUCCUCCACAAAGCUUUGAAGAAGGAAGAACACAGCUCAAUCGAAAGCUCUCUUCUCCACCAUCACCAAAUUAUAUGGUUUCCACAUAUUACAUAGUUCCUUCAUGAACUAUGGUGCAAACACUAACUUGGUUCUCUUCAGCCACUAACUUUGGCUCUCUUCAAAGCAAAUAUCUGAGACUCAUCUGAGAAUUUUUUCUUGAUGCUCUGAUUUCUUUAAUUUUGCUUCUCAAGCAGAUAUUCAGGCACUUUCAGGUUGAAACACCAUUGACCUUCAACCGCUGAUUAUGGACAACAUUACUAUUUUUGGUCACAUGGAUGGAGACCUACGUCGAACUGUCCAAUUUCUUCAAGAAAGAAAUGUUAAUGUUGUUAUCCGUGAUAAGCGUGACCUUUAAUGUCAUCCGUGUUCGAGAGGCAAAAGAAAAGGAAAUUGCCAAGGCAUUGUUGAAGAAAAACGAAAAUACCACCAUUUCGGGCAAGGGAAAGGAAAAUACAUGUUCAGUAGUAUGGCUCUUCAAUAUUUCCAUUUAAAGUUCUUUUUUUGAAAUAUUUAUUUUGGACCAUGAACCUUGAUUAUUUAUUUUUAUUUUCUUAAAUGUAAAAUUGACAUACUGCUUGCACAGUGACAUAUACUGUUCUUAUAGUAAACAGUUUCAUAUAAAUUUGUGAAAUGUUUUUUUUGAAGCAUGCUAAAAUAAUAAUUGUACAAAAACAUUAUAUUUGUUUUAAAUUAUUAUUAUUCUUUUUGGAUUUUUGCUAUUGACAUUAACAUCUACAAGAGAAGAAAAAAGGAAUAGAACAAAAAAGGAAUGAGGGGAGGAGGAAUACAGAAUGAAAAAGUUUUCAAUUUUUUUACAAAAUAUCAGAAGGAAAGGGAAUUAAGAUAAAGUAAAUUAAUAGAAAUGAAAAAUGAAGAGAAAAGUAUAAAAUAGUAGAUGAUAAUAUUCAUAUUUUAGGCA